rnacentral:lncRNA from 1 species
GACCAAUUUAGCCACAACUCACUGAAUGAACAGUAUCAGUCGUCCAUUCAGUGGUGUCUCUGCUGCUCCAACAGAUGCGUUCUUAGCAGUGGGAUGGCAACAGCCUCUGCUCAUAGGGGUGCACAGAAAGGACAUUCCUACAAGGGAGAAAAAGUCUCUCCUGGAUACAAGCAGGCAGGGUGGGCUCUGAGCCUCACUACUUUCAGCGUAACUCCAUACCAGUACAAAUGAGCACUAAAAGGACUACAAAAUAAACUGAGGGCAUUUCCACAGGAACUUCAAAUGUUUAAUAUGGAAAAUUACAGAACAUCCACAUGGUUUUUGUGUAGCUGCACAUCUUCAAUGAGAACAGACACAGCGACAUUCUGGUGCUCAGUCACUGCCAGGAAGCCACUUCGUUUGUACUUCACAUUGGCAAUAAACAGGCAGAAGCAGUACUGUGCACCGACAAGGCUCUUCUGAUGGACUAUAGAAGCAGAUGGACAAUCACUCCUGCAUUCACUUCAGCUUAUUGAAGAGUUUGUGGGCAACACAGUGGUCCCGAGCAUGCAGAAAGUCGAAGAGCUCCUCCGUGCACUGCUCCUCUGUGUGGGACCGAGAGGACACCCGCGCAUCGCACAGCUCCAGGCGCUCCCGGGCCUUCACGCACUUCUCCGUCUGCUCACAGUGCUCCCUGAUCGUGGUGAGGGGGUCCACCAGCUCCUCCUCCUCUUCCUCCUCGGGCUCCCCGGCAUGAACAACGGUGUCUCGCAACCCCAUGGCGGCACGAGAGGACUAACCAGGGUCACCCGCCGGAAGUGCCACUCUC